rnacentral:rRNA from 1 species
AAUAGAUACCCCGGUAGUCCACGCCGUAAACGAUGAGUGCUAAGUGUUAGAGGGUUUCCGCCCUUUAGUGCUGCAGCUAACGCAUUAAGCACUCCGCCUGGGGAGUACGGCCGCAAGGCUGAAACUCAAAGGAAUUGACGGGGGCCCGCACAAGCGGUGGAGCAUGUGGUUUAAUUCGAAGCAACGCGAAGAACCUUACCAGGUCUUGACAUCCUUUGCCAACCCUAGAGAUAGGGCGUUCCCCUUCGGGGGACAGAGUGACAGGUGGUGCAUGGUUGUCGUCAGCUCGUGUCGUGAGAUGUUGGGUUAAGUCCCGCAACGAGCGCAACCCUUGAUCUUAGUUGCCAGCAUUCAGUUGGGCACUCUAAGGUGACUGCCGGUGACAAACCGGAGGAAGUGGGGAUGACGUCAAAUCAUCAUGCCCCUUAUGACCUGGGCUACACACGUGCUACAAUGGAUGGUACAAAGAGCUGCGAACCCGCGAGGGUAAGCGAAUCUCAUAAAGCCAUUCUCAGUUCGGA